GUUCACGAGCUGCAGCGUCAAGUACCCGGCUGGCUGCACGGCAACCCUCCUGAUCGAGCGGGGUGCCCCGGGGCGAGAACCGGUGGUGCGUCACGGUGGCGCCCACAAGUCGGCC
rnacentral:ncRNA from 2 species